rnacentral:rRNA from 1 species
AUUGAACGCUGGCGGCAGGCCUAACACAUGCAAGUCGAACGGUAACAGGAAACAGCUUGCUGUUUCGCUGACGAGUGGCGGACGGGUGAGUAAUGUCUGGGAAACUGCCUGAUGGAGGGGGAUAACUACUGGAAACGGUAGCUAAUACCGCAUAACGUCGCAAGACCAAAGAGGGGGACCUUCGGGCCUCUUGCCAUCGGAUGUGCCCAGAUGGGAUUAGCUAGUAGGUGGGGUAACGGCUCACCUAGGCGACGAUCCCUAGCUGGUCUGAGAGGAUGACCAGCCACACUGGAACUGAGACACGGUCCAGACUCCUACGGGAGGCAGCAGUGGGGAAUACUGCACAAUGGGCGCAAGCCUGAUGCAGCCAUGCCGCGUGUAUGAAGAAGGCCUUCGGGUUGUAAAGUACUUUCAGCGGGGAGGAAGGGAGUAAAGUUAAUACCUUUGCUCAUUGACGUUACCCGCAGAAGAAGCACCGGCUAACUCCGUG